rnacentral:rRNA from 1 species
GCAUAUCAUAAGCAGAAGGAAAAGAAACCAACAGGGAUUGCCUUAGUAACGGCGAGUGAAGCGGCAACAGCUCAAAUUUGAAAUCUGGCCCUAGGUCCGAAUUGUAAUUUGUAGAGGAUGCUUUUGGUGCGGUACCUUCCGAGUUCCCUGGAACGGGACGCCUUAGAGGGUGAGAGCCCCGUACGGUUGGAUGCCUAGCCUCUGUAAAGCUCCUUCGACGAGUCGAGUAGUUUGGGAAUGCUGCUCUAAAUGGGAGGUAAAUUUCUUCUAAAGCUAAAUACCGGCCAGAGACCGAUAGCGCACAAGUAGAGUGAUCGAAAGAUGAAAAGCACUUUGAAAAGAGGGUUAAAUAGUACGUGAAAUUGUUGAAAGGGAAGCGCUUAUGACCAGACUUUUGCCUUACGGAUCAUCCGGUGUUCUCACCGGUGCACUUCGUUUGGUUCAGGCCAGCGUCGAUUUUGGUAGGGGGAUAAAGGCUUGGGAAACGUAGCUCUUCCGGGAGUGUUAUAGUCCCCUGCGUAAUACCUUUACCGGGAUCGAGGUUCGCGCUCUGCAAGGACGCUGGCAUAAUGGUCAUCAGUGACCCGUCUUGAAACACGGACCAAGGAGUCGAACAUUUGUGCGAGUGUUUGGGUGUUAAACCCUCACGCGUAAUGAAAGUGAACGGAGGUGAGAGCCUUAGGGUGCAUCAUCGACCGAUCCUGAUGUCUUCGGAUGGAUUUGAGUAAGAGCAUAACUGUUCGGACCCGAAAGAUGGUGAACUAUGCGUGGAUAGGGUGAAGCCAGAGGAAACUCUGGUGGAGGCUCGCAGCGGUUCUGACGUGCAAAUCGAUCGUCAAAUCUGCGCAUGGGGCGAAAGACUAAUCGAAACCAUCUAGUAGCUGGUUACCGCCGA